AAUCACCCUGUGCACAGCUCUCUAUGAUUUCUUGCAGGGGAGGACAGACUGGGACAGGCUGGGUAAAAGAGGCAUGAGAGUUCUCACAAUUAAAGGAUCAGGCUCAGCUUUCCAUGGGACCUCUCAUGCCCAUUCAGCAGUUCAAGAAGUCAUGGUGGAGAGAUGUGGACCAUGAUAAGAAACAUUAUUGAGAGAGAUGAUCUGCCAGCUCGAGUAGUUGUUGGCCACUGCUUUCUACUGAUUCCUGUCUGGUGGACACAGUCCCAGGGCGAUCCUUCUGCAGGUGCAGCCAUGCUAGAUCCCCACUGAAACAAAUUUCUCAACAACAAAACAUAGAAGAUUACUAUACAGAAAGAAUACAACAGUGCGGAAUGAUGAACCUGAUGUAGGUGUGCUCUCUUGGCCUUUAAAUUGGGGAAGUCGUGUCAAAUUUUCCACACACACCCUGCCGUUUGGCAGCUCUGCACUGCUUCUCAACCACAGAUCUUUGCCAAAACUUGACUUUGCUCCCUUCAGAUUAACUGUCUCCAAUUAAAUAAACUGGCAUUUCUUCUAAGGAGUCUGAUUGAAAGGAUAAUCUUGAACGACACCCAUCUUAAAGAGUUGAGUCUUCUCCGAAAGCUGAGAUUAGGCAAUCAAGUCUACAGAUGUUUGCAAGGGUUUUAGUCUGACACUAACCAACCUUUAA